UCCUUUAUUUUACUACAUGUUCAGAGAACCUCUCAAACUCUCUCCCUUAGAGAGACUAAGUACCAUUUACUCCCAUACUGCAUCUCUUAAAAGCAGCUCUGGCUUCUGCUGUUUUUGUGGCAUAACCUUACUGCAAAUUCUUAUUUUUUGUAGAAUCAGAUUUACAGCAAAGGUAGCCUAUUUACAUUAACUCUAAUAUACCUAAAUGAGUGGCCAUUCUCUUAGGGAUGCUAGAAAAAGAAAUGCUGCAAUCUUGGCAAACCAGGAUAUAAUUUCCAAUCAAAAGAGGAAGGAAUAUCCUGUCCAAGCUACAGUGUGCAUCAAAAAAAUUGAUCCCUUCUAAUCCACUGUCUACAUUACAGAUGGAACCCAUUAC